UGGGGAAUAUUGGGCAAUGGGGGCAACCCUGACCCAGCGACGCCGCGUGGGGGAAGACGGCCUUCGGGUUGUAAACCUCUUUUGUACGGGAAGAAGGAAGUGACGGUACUGUACGAAUAAGUCCCGGCUAACUACGUGCCAGCAGCCGCGGUAAUACUUAGGGGACGAGCGUUGUCCGGAAUUACUGGGCGUAAAGGGCGCGCAGGCCGUGCUGGAAGUCAGCUGUUAAAUGUCUGGGCUUAACCCGGGCAUGCGGUUGAGACUGCAGUGCUGGAGUGCUGUAGAGGCAAGUGGAAUUCGCAGUGUAGCGGUGAAAUGCGUAGAUAUUGGGAAGAACACCGGUGACGAAGGCGACUUGCUGGGCAGCAACUGACGCUGAGGCGCGAAAGCCAGGGGAGCAA
rnacentral:rRNA from 1 species